GACAGAGGUGCCGAGCGUUAGGCGGAAUCACUGGGCUUAAAGCGCGUGUAGGCGGGUCGUUAAGUACCUUGUGAAAUCCCCCGGCUCAACCGGGGAAUUGCUGGGUAUACUGGCGACCUUGGGCCACCUAGGGGCCAUCGGAACAGGCGGUGGAGCGGUGAAAUGCGUAGAUAUCGCCUGGAACGCCGACGGUGAAAACAGAUGGCUGGGGGUGUGCCGACGCUGAGACGGCGAAAAGCCAGGGGAGCGAACGGG
rnacentral:rRNA from 1 species